rnacentral:lncRNA from 1 species
UGGGUGGGGUUGGGGGGUAGUCCAGGCUUGUUCCUGCAACUGUAUGUUCUCUUCAGACCCCUCCCUGGCGAUGCCAGAUUCACUGGGCUGGCAGAUUCUGCCCCCAAACCUGUCCAACCAGUUGUUUGAGAGGAGGGGGUAUCUGGGAGGGGCAGCAGGAGAUGCCAGGAACAGCUUCCCCUAGCGCAGCACAGACUACAGACGGGGGAGCCUCUGGGGCUGCAGACACUGCAGACGGACGGACAGACAGAUGGACAACAGCUGGAGGCUUGGCCCCAGCCAUAGGGCUCUCUGCGGGACAGUCCCAGCUGCUAGUGUUGCUGUUGCUGCUACUGACCCGUGUCCAGCCUGGGACAGACGUGGCUGCCCCAGAGCACAUCAGCUAUGUGCCCCAGCUCUCAAACGACACCCUGGCGGGGAGGCUCACCCUGUCCACCUUCACGCUGGAGCAGCCUCUAGGCCAGUUCAG